rnacentral:antisense_RNA from 1 species
CUUCAACGACCCCAGCCACAGCGGCUGUCCUUCCGGGCGGCCCUGCCCGUACGUCGCCAACAGGGCCUGGGCCUC